rnacentral:rRNA from 2 species
AGCAGCCGCGGUAAUUCCAGCUCCAAUAGCGUAUAUUAAAGUUGUUGCAGUUAAAAAGCUCGUAGUUGAAUUUCGGGAUCGACGGGUCGGUCGCGCCUCUGGUGUGUACUGGCCCUGUCGGUUUCUCCCUUCUGACGAACCACGAUGUCAUUAAUUUGGUGUCGUGGGAAAUCAGGACUGUUACUUUGAAAAAUUAGAGUGUUUAAAGCAGGCAUUCGCUUGAAUACAUUAGCAUGGAAUAAUGAAAUAGGACGUUUGAUCUUAUUUUGUUGGUUUCUAAGAUCGACGUAAUGAUUAAUAGGGAUAGUUGGGGGCAUUAGUAUUCAAUUGUCAGAGGUGAAAUUCUUGGAUUUAUUGAAGACUAACUACUGCGAAAGCAUUUGCCAAGGAUGUUUUCAUUAAUCAAGAACGAAAGUUAGGGGAUCGAAGACGAUCAGAUACCGUCGUAGU